rnacentral:rRNA from 1 species
UACGAAGGGGGCUAGCGUUGCUCGGAAUCACUGGGCGUAAAGGGUGCGUAGGCGGGUCUUUAAGUCAGGGGUGAAAUCCUGGAGCUCAACUCCAGAACUGCCUUUGAUACUGAAGAUCUUGAGUGCGGGAGAGGUGAGUGGAACUGCGAGUGUAGAGGUGAAAUUCGUAGAUAUUCGCAAGAACGCCAGUGGCGAAGGCGGCUCACUGGCCCGAUACUGACGCUGAGGCACGAAAGCGUGGGGAGCAAACAGG